rnacentral:rRNA from 1 species
UACGAAGGGGGCGAGCGUUGUUCGGAUUUACUGGGCGUAAAGGGCGCGUAGGCGGCCCUGUUUGUCAGGCGUGAAAGCCCCGGGCUCAACCCGGGAAGUGCAUACGAAACUGGCGCGCUUGAAUAUGGAAGAGGGUCGCGGAAUUCCCGGUGUAGAGGUGAAAUUCGUAGAUAUCGGGAGGAACACCAGUGGCGAAGGCGGCGACCUGGGCCAAUAUUGACGCUGAGGUGCGAAAGCGUGGGGAGCAAACAGG